CAGGUGAUGGGGACCAGGGAGGGCACCUGUCAUGAUGAGCUCUGGGUGAGGUAUGGAAGGGUUGAAUCACUACAUUGCAUGCCUGAAACCAACGUCACAGUGGAUGUUGACUAACUGGAAUUUCGAGAAAAGGAAGAAAAAGUGACCUUGGAUUUGACAGCAUGGAGCUCACAGAUGUUUUAAAUUUUUUUUUGGCUUUAUUUUUUGAGAGAGAGACAGAGACAGAGACAGAGUGCAAGCAGGGGAGGGGCAGAGAGAGAGGGAGACACAGAAUCCGAAGCAGACUCCAGGCUCCGAGCUGCCAGCACAGAGCCCGACAUGGGGCUCGAACUCACGGGCCGUGAGAUCAUGGCCUGUGCCGAAGUCGGGGUGCUUAACCGACUGAGCCACCCAGGCGCCCCAUGGGUGCUUCAUAGGAGUGGUUCUUUGGGUGUGAUGGUGAGAAGUCAGACCGCAACGUUUAAGGAAUGAAUUAGAGAAUGGAAAACCGAGGCACAAAGAGGCUGAGUAAACUGCCUACUGACACACAGCCAACACGAGAGCGGCUCUGCUUUGUUUCCCCAGGCGUCCAAAGUAGAAGGAUGCGUUCCAGGAGGUGGUGGAGCUUGCGACUGACCAAAGUCAAAAGUUCGCGGUGUUCCGAGAAUUCAAACAGGAGAGGUGAAUACGCCCUGCUUCCUCAAUAUCCUCUCGACUCCCUCCCGACUCUAUUUUGGGUGACUCUCCGAGCCAUGCUUACUCCAUUCAGAAUCUCCUUUCACAGCCAUAAGCAUUAACAAGUCCAUGAGGAAAAAAUCUCUUCUGAUGGGGAAGCCUCAGGGGAAAGGGCCAGUGACAGCCAGACUCUGACCUGGGACCCAAAGAGCCCAUAAUGGAUGAGACCCGACAGCGGUCUGAGUCUUGAGCAAAGACUGUGUGUCGUGUUCUUAGAAGGUUCUGAACUGAUGCUGAGGUGGUAAAGAGGAAAUGGAGAAGUCAAGAGCUGCGGAGAAGAUCGGGUUGACCAGUUGGCUGUGGAGAAAGAAGGAGAAGGACGGUGCCCUAAUAUCUGGCUUGGCGUUGGGCUGGCGCACAGUGGGAGUAGCAGUGUCCUUGAUUUGCUAUUUUUGAAAUCCAAAGCAAAAGGAUCCCUUCUGGAAUUGAUAACUCCCAACCACUGGGUUCCAGUCUCUCCACCUUGAAAGGAAUUCUCCUUACGUGACCCUGGUUAUACAACUGGUGUGGGAUAGACACCCCACCGAAGUGUCCCUGGAAGACCUCCCCAUAAUGAAAGUCAUUUCUAUUCUGACCCCACAGCGUCUUCGGCUUUAUUUCUCAUCUUCCCCAACCACACGUUGGGGUUGGAACCAUCUGACUCCAACUCCAUUCUCGCCUUUGGCUGUGCUACGUCUUUCUUUCCGCAUAACAAGCUCCCAGUCAUAUUUCAAGAGCCUGCUUACUUUCUGAACCCUACAGAAACCUUUCUGCCCCAUCUCAGGCAGAAUUAUUUACUCUUUUCUCUGCCAUCUUCCUAGAUUUUGCAAAGGUCUCCUCUGCUAAUCAAAGGGGAAGAAUUCUUUACUUUUCAUCUCAGUAUUUGCUGAGUUUAUAAAUAAGCACUUGGUAAACAUUGAAGACAUAAGCAAACAAAUGAAUGUCUAAAAUGCGUAAAUUAGUCCUUGUCUUCAACGGCUUAUUUUGCUACUUAGAAAUAGCAAAGGGUUAGUAGAGCCAUGAAAUGAAGGCUUCUAGCACUUGGCUAUUUGUCUGGAAUGCCUCCGUCACCACUUGCCAGCUGUCAGGGGAAAUCACAUCACCUUUGAACCUGAGUGUGUUUCCUCCGCUGUAAAUCUGGGUGGAUGACACCCAACCAGGGGUGACAUCGUUGUGAAGGUUCAGCUGGUAAGCGUGUGCAGGGUGCAUGGCGCCAUGCAUCAAUACUGGGUAUCUGUCAGGAAGUGGUAGAUGGUGGCGGUGGUGACAGGGAUAUAGUUGCAUGAUUUUCUUCUGUGAAGGGGUUCUCUCUUAAAAGAAUGGUUAUCGUAGGUUGAAACCUAUCUCUCAAAGAUAUACGUUGAGGCCCUAACCCCUCAAAUGUGUGACUGUGACCUUAUUUGGAAACAGGGUCUUACAGAUAUUGUCAAAUUAAGAUGAGGUUAUCCUCCACUAUGGUGGGCCCUAAUCCAAUAAUUGGUGUCCUUGUAAGGAAAGUGGAUUUUCUUUCUUUUGUUUUGUUUCUUCAGCUUUAUUGAGGUGUAACUGACAAAUAAAACUGUAUGUAUUUAAAAUAUAUAAGAUAGAGGGGUGCCUGGGUGGCUCAGUCAGUCCAACAUCUGACUCUCAGUUUUGGCCCAGGUCAUGAUCUCAGGGUUGUGGGAUCGAGUCCCGCUCAGCAUGGAGCCUGCUUGGGAUUCUCUCUCUCUCCCUCUGCUCCUCUCCCCUGCACUCUCUCACUCUUUUCCAAAUAAGUAAAUAAAUAGAGUGAGAAAUC